CAGCCGCCGCGGUAAUACCUGCAGCUCGAGUGGUGGCCGCUAUUAUUGGGCCUAAAACGUCCGUAGCCGGUUUAAUAAAUGCCUGGGUAAAUCGUGUAGCUUAACUAUACGAAUUCCGGGUAGACUGCUAAACUUGAGACCGGGAGAAGCUAGAGGUACUCCUGGGGUAGAGGUGAAAUUCUGUAAUCCUAGGGGGACCACCAGUGGCGAAGGCGUCUGGCUAGAACGGGUCCGACGGUGAGGGACGAAGCCUUGGGGCGCAAACCGGAUUAGAUACCCGGGUAGUCCAGGGUGUAAACGCUGCUUGCUUGAUGUUGGUUGGGCUCCGAGCCCAAUCAGUGUCGGAGAGAAGUUGUUAAGCAAGCUGCCUGGGAAGUACGGUCGCAAGACUGAAACUUAAAGGAAUUGGCGGGGGAGCACAGCAACGGGUGGAGCGUGCGGUUUAAUUGGAUUCAACGCCGGAAAACUCACCGGAGGCGACGGUUACAUGAAGGCCAGGCUGAUGACCUUGCCUGAUUUUCCGAGAGGUGGUGCAUGGCCGCCGUCAGUUCGUACCGUAAGGCGUUCUGUUAAGUCAGACAACGAACGAGACCCUCAUCUUUAAUUGCUACUGGUAAGUCCGCUUAUCAGGCACAUUAAAGAAACCGCUGGCGAUAAGUCAGAGGAAGGCGAGGGCAACGGUAGGUCAGUAUGCCCUGAAUCCUCCGGGCUACACGCGCGCUACAAAGGCUAGGACAAUGGGCUUCGACACUGAGAGGUGAAGGUAAUCCCGAAACCUAGUCGUAGUUCGGAUUGAGGGUUGAAACUCACCCUCAUGAAGCUGGAAUCCGUAGUAAUCGCAGAUCAACAUCCUGCGGUGAAUAUGCCCCUGCUCCUUGCACACACCGCCCGU
rnacentral:rRNA from 1 species